GGGGCUGUCAUAUAACCAGGCCAUUAUGCCAGGCUCCAGACCUGGUCAUCGGGGUUCAAAUCCCUGCAGCCCCA
rnacentral:tRNA from 1 species